GCAGUCGACGGGAAGCUCACUUCGGUGAGUGGAGAGUGGCGAACGGGUGCGUAACACGUAGCUUAUCUGCCCUGGAGAUGGGAAUAACCCACGGAAACGUGGGCUAAUGCCCAAUAAGCUCACGUCCUCUAGAGGGAUGCGAGAAAAGCUCAGGCGCUCUGGGAUGAGGCUGCGGUCCAUCAGCUAGUUGGUGAGGUAAAAGCUCACCAAGGCGACGACGGAUAGGGGACCUGAGAGGGUGACCCCCCACACUGGCACUGAGACACGGGCCAGACUCCUACGGGAGGCAGCAGUGAGGAAUAUUGCACAAUGGGCGCAAGCCUGAUGCAGCGACGCCGCGUGGGCGAAGAAGGUCUUCGGAUCGUAAAGCCCUUUUCUAUGUGACGAGACAAGGACGGUAGCAUAGGAAUAAGUCUCGGCUAACUACGUGCCAGCAGCCGCGGUAAAACGUAGGAGGCAAGCGUUAUCCGGAGUUACUGGGCGUAAAGCGCGUGUAGGCGGUUGUGCAGGUCGGAUGUGAAAGCUCCCAGGCUAAACCGGGAGAGGUCAUUCGAAACCGCAUAACUUGAGAACAGCAGGGGCGUGUGGAAUUCCGGGUGUAGUGGUGAAAUGCGCAGAUAUCCGGAGGAACACCAGUGGCGAAGGCGGCACGCUGGGCUGUUUCUGACGCUGAGACGCGAAAGCAUGGGUAGCGAACGGGANUA
rnacentral:rRNA from 1 species